UAUGAGUGAAAGAGGAUUAUCUGUAUUAAGCAAGCGGGAUUUGUUGGACGGGCAAAAAACAGAAUCUAUAGACUUUUGUGAACACUAUAUGUUUGGCAAACAGACCAGGGUGAAGUUCGACAAAAAGGCAGUGCGCAAGACCAAAGAAACGAUGGAUUAUAUCCACUUAGAUCUAUGGGAUCCUAAUAUAAUCCCUACCAAGAGUGGUCCCAGGUACUUCAUGACUUUGAUUGAU
rnacentral:misc_RNA from 1 species